AAGCAUCUCUGACAGACCUGGAGCAAUUAAUGUCUGCUGCUAAGGUUUCCACUAUAGAUGCAAGGAAAAGAAGUCCUUGCACUUUCUAUCUGUCUGGUUGUGGCAGCCAAGUUUGAAUGGGAAACAUGG
rnacentral:snoRNA from 1 species